rnacentral:sRNA from 1 species
AAAAAAAGAAGUCCGUCUAACGCGUCGCAUCGUGCGGCAAAGACUGGCUGACCCACGUCCUGUGGG